rnacentral:rRNA from 1 species
GCACAAGCAGCGGAGCGUGUGGUUUAAUUCGAUGCUACACGAAGAACCUUACCAGGGUUUGACAUACAAGUGGUAGAGAAGCGAAAGCGGACCGACCCUUCGGGGAGCUUGUACAGGUGCUGCAUGGCUGUCGUCAGCUCGUGUCGUGAGAUGUUCGGUUAAGUCCGCUAACGAGCGCAACCCUCGCUGUGUGUUACAAGUGUCACACGGAACUGCCGGUCAUAAACCGGAGGAAGGUGGGGAUGACGUCAAGUCAGCAUGGCCUUUAUAUCCUGGGCUACACACACGCUACAAUGGGAAGGGACAAUAGGUUGCGAAGCCGCGAGGUGGAGCCAAUCCAGCAAAACUUCCCUCAGUUCAGAUUGCAGGCUGCAACUCGCCUGCAUGAAGUUGGAAUCGCUAGUAAUCGUGGAUCAGCCAAGCCGCGGUGAAUACGUUCCCGGGCCUU